rnacentral:rRNA from 1 species
CCUACGGGAGGCAGCAGUGGGGAAUUUUGGACAAUGGGCGCAAGCCUGAUCCAGCAAUGCCGCGUGAGUGAAGAAGGCCUUCGGGUUGUAAAGCUCUUUUGUCAGGGAAGAAACGGUGGAGGCUAAUAUCCUUUGCUAAUGACGGUACCUGAAGAAUAAGCACCGGCUAACUACGUGCCAGCAGCCGCGGUAAUACGUAGGGUGCAAGCGUUAAUCGGAAUUACUGGGCGUAAAGCGUGCGCAGGCGGUUUUGUAAGUCUGUCGUGAAAUCCCCGGGCUCAACCUGGGAAUUGCGAUGGAGACUGCAAGGCUAGAAUCUGGCAGAGGGGGGUAGAAUUCCACGUGUAGCAGUGAAAUGCGUAGAGAUGUGGAGGAACACCGAUGGCGAAGGCAGCCCCCUGGGUCAAGAUUGACGCUCAUGCACGAAAGCGUGGGGAGCAAACAGGAUUAGAUACCCUGGUAGUCCACGCCCUAAACGAUGUCUACUAGUUGUCGGGUUUUAAUUAACUUGGUAACGCAGCUAACGCGUGAAGUAGACCGCCUGGGGAGUACGGUCGCAAGAUUAAAACUANAAGAGUAGUGACGUGNGAGAGCGACGAGACACAGGAGGUUAGAGG